UGGCAUUUGUUCUAAACCAGGAAUCUGGUAGAGAUCAGGGCGGUGCCUAUCAUCUCAGGAUACCAGGAAUCCAGUCCAAUAGCAACAAGCACAAAUCAGUAGUGGCAGCAUGAUCCAGCAGAAACAGCAAGGCAUGAGUCAGUGGAAGUAACCAGAAUCAGCCAGAACACCAAGAGAAGUUCUCUGGCGCAUUUCUCUCUACAAAGUGAAGACCAGCGAAGACUAGCAAAGCACUGCACAAAGUUGCAGUCUAUCUAUCCAGCAAUGGCUGGUUGUGAAUGGAAAGUCCAAGACUCCUGUAGUUGCUCAGUC